rnacentral:rRNA from 1 species
UGAGGAAUAUUGGACAAUGGGGGCAACCCUGAUCCAGCCAUGCCGCGUGAGUGAAGAAGGCCUUCGGGUUGUAAAGCUCUUUCAGUCGUGAAGAUUAUGACGGUAACGACAGAAGAAGCCCCGGCUAACUUCGUGCCAGCAGCCGCGGUAAUACGAAGGGGGCGAGCGUUGUUCGGAAUCACUGGGCGUAAAGCGUGCGUAGGCGGACAAGCAAGUCAGAUGUGAAAGCCCAGGGCUCAACCCUGGAACUGCAUUUGAAACUGCAUGUCUAGAGUCCGGAAGAGGUAAGCGGAACUCCGAGUGUAGAGGUGAAAUUCGCAGAUAUUCGGAAGAACACCAGUGGCGAAGGCGGCUUACUGGACCGGAACUGACGCUGAGGCACGAAAGCGUGGGGAGCAAACA